rnacentral:rRNA from 2 species
UCUAAGUUGCAUCCUGGGCCAACUGAUUAGAAGCUUGCUUCUAUGACGUUAGCGGCGGACGGGGUGAGUAACACGUGGGCAACCUGCCUGUAAGACUGGGAUAACUUCGGGAAACCGAAGCUAAUACCGGAUAGGAUCUUCUCCUUCAUGGGAGAUGAUUGAAAGAUGGUUUCGGCUAUCACUUACAGAUGGGCCCGCGGUGCAUUAGCUAGUUGGUGAGGUAACGGCUCACCAAGGCAACGAUGCAUAGCCGACCUGAGAGGGUGAUCGGCCACACUGGGACUGAGACACGGCCCAGACUCCUACGGGAGGCAGCAGUAGGGAAUCUUCCGCAAUGGACGAAAGUCUGACGGAGCAACGCCGCGUGAGUGAUGAAGGCUUUCGGGUCGUAAAACUCUGUUGUUAGGGAAGAACAAGUACGAGAGUAACUGCUCGUACCUUGACGGUACCUAACCAGAAAGCCACGGCUAACUACGUGCCAGCAGCCGCGGUAAUACGUAGGUGGCAAGCGUUAUCCGGAAUUAUUGGGCGUAAAGCGCGCGCAGGCGGUUUCUUAAGUCUGAUGUGAAAGCCCACGGCUCAACCGUGGAGGGUCAUUGGAAACUGGGGAACUUGAGUGCAGAAGAGAAAAGCGGAAUUCCACGUGUAGCGGUGAAAUGCGUAGAGAUGUGGAGGAACACCAGUGGCGAAGGCGGCUUUUUGGUCUGUAACUGACGCUGAGGCGCGAAAGCGUGGGGAGCAAACAGGAUUAGAUACCCUGGUAGUCCACGCCGUAAACGAUGAGUGCUAAGUGUUAGAGGGUUUCCGCCCUUUAGUGCUGCAGCUAACGCAUUAAGCACUCCGCCUGGGGAGUACGGUCGCAAGACUGAAACUCAAAGGAAUUGACGGGGGCCCGCACAAGCGGUGGAGCAUGUGGUUUAAUUUCGAAGCAACGCGAAGAACCCUUACCAGUCUUGACAUCCUCUGACACUCUAGAGAAUAGAGCGUUCCCCUUCCGGGGACAGAGUGACAGUGUGCAUGUUGUCGUCAGCUCGUGUCGUGAGAUGUUGGUAGUCCCGCAACGAGCGCCACCUUGAUCUAGUUGCAGCAUUGUGGCACUCUAGGGUGACUGCGGACAUCCGAGUAGGUGGGAUGACGUCACACAUGCCCUAUAGACUGGGCUACACGUGCUCACAUUGAUAUG